AAGAUCAUACUCUUAGGGAUCAUUUCUAUAGUAUGUAUCGCCGGGACGCCAGGUAAAACUGUAAGUUCCAGAAACCACGACGAUGAGUAUACUUUAGUUAAACUGGCAUGUCCUUUUUAAAAUCAAUAACUGUCACUCAAAUGCAAUAUAUUUCUAAAAUAUAUAUAUAACAGUACAAUAUUUUAUGUUCAUAGUGGU
rnacentral:snoRNA from 1 species